rnacentral:rRNA from 1 species
GACGAACGCUGGCGGCAUGCCUAAUACAUGCAAGUCGAGCGGAGUUGACGAGAAGCUUGCUUCUCUGAUACUUAGCGGCGGACGGGUGAGUAACACGUAGGCAACCUGCCUUUCAGUUUGGGAUAACUUCCGGAAACGGAUGCUAAUACCGAAUACAUCAUCUUCUGGCAUCAGAGAAUGAGGAAAGACGGCGCAAGCUGUCACUGAGAGAUGGGCCUGCGGCGCAUUAGCUAGUUGGCGGGGUAAUGGCUCACCAAGGCGACGAUGCGUAGCCGACCUGAGAGGGUGAACGGCCACACUGGGACUGAGACACGGCCCAGACUCCUACGGGAGGCAGCAGUAGAGAAUCUUCCACCAUGGGCGAACGCCUGAUGGAGCAAUGCCGGGGGAGGGAGGGAGGUAGUCGGAUCGUAAAGCUCUGUUGACAGGGAAGAACGUCCGCGUGAGUAACUGCACCCGGAGUGACGGUACCUGGGAAGCAAGCCCCGGCUUACUACGUGCCAGCCGCCGCGGUAA